AGUGGAUCUCCCCGAGAGGAUAAAGAUCAGAUUCGUGAUUCUGCUCCUGAAAUUCGUGAUGUAUUUGGGGAUUUUGACGAUGAUGAAGAGGAGGAUGGAUAUGCAGUUCAUCAUGACAUUGAACAUGACUCAAAUAGAUCCCCUGUUGAAGAAGAGGGCCAUGAAAAAGGCCUGAGGCCAGAGGAUAUACUUGCAGAUGAAGAUCAUAGGUAUGGGUCAGAAGAGGAAAAUUAUGAGAUAAAAACUAAAGAGAAACCACUUGGGCCACCAUUGGAGUUAGAGGUUCCGCUGCAACCACCUCCAGCUCUUCCAGAAAAGGUGCCAAAGUGAAAAGUAUGCAGUUUAAAAUGAUAGCUCAGGUCGUUAAAGUCGGAAACUGAAAAGGCGAGUUGAACAUAGCCGAUUAGCCGAUUCGGAUGUUAGUGGAAAAUGGUUGAAAUGGCAAAGUCUAAAUUGGAGUCCUUUAAAUUGGCAUUUAGGGAAGGAGAAACUGUUGAGAGCACAAAAUACACUUGAACAAGGAAAAAUAUGACAACACAGUUAAAGAAUGCACAAAAGCAUUAGAUCUAAAUCCAGUGUACAUUAAAGCUUUAGUAAAAAGAGGAGAAGCUCAUGAAAAGCUUGAACAUUUUGAAGAAGCCAUUGCUGAUAUGAAAAAGAUCUUAGAAAUUGAUCCUUCAAAUGAUCAAGCUAGGAAGGCCAUCGGCGACUUGAGCCGCUUGCUGCAGAAAAGCGUGAAAUGAUGAAAAGAUGAUUG